GCAUACACGGAAGUUUCCGCGGACUUGUUGUUGAGAGCGGAACAGAAAAUUGCAAGAAGGUGGUCAAGUUACAGGCACGCCCUCUUUUCAAGCAUAGGGGAGGAUUAACAGGGCCGUGUGAGCUUUUUUACGAUCGCCACACCGGAAUUCCUGCUUGUCUUCCUUCUACCUGUGUGACAUCAACUACACAAAACAGGAUCUAAUAUCUGUUGUGAUCAUCAUGCAUCCUCUUCGGGUCGAUAUUGAAACUGGGCAAGUAGAUGAGGGAGGUUAGUGAGUCAUCAGCAUAUUAUACUUUUGCAUUCUCUGAUUGGACAGCCCACAGGGAGCAUCAUGUGAGCAUGUCAUGCACUUUCAGGGGAAGAAAAAUAUCAUGACUUGCACAACUGCAGAACUGUUUUAUCUACAGCCUGGCUUUAUGUUUAUCUUCAUUUAUAUCUUACUGCUUGAUUAUAAGU